UACGAAGGGGGCUAGCGUUGUUCGGAAUCACUGGGCGUAAAGCGCGUGUAGGCGGCUUGUUAAGUCGGGUGUGAAAUCCUGAGGCUCAACCUCAGAACUGCCUUCGAUACUGGCGAUCUUGAGUCCGAGAGAGGUGAGUGGAACUCCUAGUGUAGAGGUGAAAUGCAUUGAGAUCGGAAAGAACACCAACGGCGAAAGCACUCUGCUGGGCCGACACUGACACUGAGAGACGAAAGCUAGGGGAGCAAAUGGG
rnacentral:rRNA from 1 species